CCUUGGAGAGUACCUACGAUUCGACUGAUUAUAUUUACAUAAAUAACCUGAGUCUAUGGGCCUGAAGUUGACCAUUGGGAACACUUCAACCCCGAACCAAAAUUUAUUUGUUUGAACAUAAACCAAUUUAAGUAUUUACAUAGCGAUAAUUUUCCAUGAGAAAAUUGUUCGAUAGUCUUUCUUGACAAAUUGUUCUUGAAUACAAUUCACCAGAUACCAGGAACAUGAACGGGUGGGUGGGUGGAAAUUUUCUUUCUCUGUAACAAGACAUUGCUCUUUGUUGGGAUAUUUGUCAAAGUGAACUCCCUUAUCACAUUGACCUUUGUUCUGCGUGUUCGUUGUUGACAUAUGAUUGGUCAGUUGAUCUUUCAUUCGGUUUUACACUUGCCCAGAGAAACAUUUGAACUUUGGACUAUUGGAUAUCGCCUUUUUGUGGCUGUUGACAAGCUUAUCCUGUUACUAUGAGA